CUACGGGUUGCUCCAGUCGGGAAUAUUGCGCAAUGGAGGAAACUCUGACGCAGUGACGCCGCGUAUAGGAAGAAGGUUUUCGGAUUGUAAACUAUUGUCGUUAGGGAAGAUAAAAGACAGUACCUAAGGAGGAAGCUCCGGCUAACUACGUGCCAGCAGCCGCGGUAAUACGUAGGGAGCAAGCGUUAUCCGGAUUUAUUGGGUGUAAAGGGUGCGUAGACGGGAAGACAAGUUAGUUGUGAAAUCCCUCGGCUUAACUGAGGAACUGCAACUAAAACUAUUUUUCUUGAGUGUUGGAGAGGAAAGUGGAAUUCCUAGUGUAGCGGUGAAAUGCGUAGAUAUUAGGAGGAACACCGGUGGCGAAGGCGACUUUCUGGACAAUAACUGACGUUGAGGCACGAAAGUGUGGGGAGCAAACAGGAUUAGAUACCCCGGUAGUC
rnacentral:rRNA from 1 species